rnacentral:rRNA from 1 species
CUCUUCAAAUCGAGUGGCGAACGGGUGAGUAACGCGUGAGGAACCUGCCUCAAAGAGGGGGACAACAGUUGGAAACGACUGCUAAUACCGCAUAAGCCCACGGCUCGGCAUCGAGCAGAGGGAAAAGGAGCAAUCCACUUUGAGAUGGCCUCGCGUCCGAUUAGCUAGUUGGUGAGGUAACGGCCCACCAAGGCGACGAUCGGUAGCCGGACUGAGAGGUUGAACGGCCACAUUGGGACUGAGACACGGCCCAGACUCCUACGGGAGGCAGCAGUGGGGAAUAUUGCACAAUGGGGGAAACCCUGAUGCAGCGACGCCGCGUGGAGGAAGAAGGUCUUCGGAUUGUAAACUCCUGUUGUUGAGGAAGAUAAUGACGGUACUCAACAAGGAAGUGACGGCUAACUACGUGCCAGCAGCCGCGGUAAAACGUAGGUCACAAGCGUUGUCCGGAAUUACUGGGUGUAAAGGGAGCGCAGGCGGGAGAACAAGUUGGAAGUGAAAUCCAUGGGCUCAACCCAUGAACUGCUUUCAAAACUGUUUUUCUUGAGUAGUGCAGAGGUAGGCGGAAUUCCCGGUGUAGCGGUGGAAUGCGUAGAUAUCGGGAGGAACACCAGUGGCGAAGGCGGCCUACUGGGCACCAACUGA